GAUGAACGCUAGCGGCAGGCCUAACACAUGCAAGUCGAGGGGUAGAGUUCUUCGGGACUUGAGACCGGCGCACGGGUGCGUAACGCGUAUGCAAUCUACCUUAUACAGGGGAAUAGCCCAGAGAAAUUUGGAUUAAUGCCCCAUAGUGUUAUCGAAUCGCAUGGUUUGAUAACUAAAGUUCCAACGGUAUAAGGUGAGCAUGCGUCCCAUUAGUUAGUUGGUAAGGUAACGGCUUACCAAGACAAUGAUGGGUAGGGGUCCUGAGAGGGAGAUCCCCCACACUGGUACUGAGACACGGACCAGACUCCUACGGGAGGCAGCAGUGGGGAAUAUUGGACAAUGGGCGAAAGCCUGAUCCAGCCAUGCCGCGUGUGUGAAGAAGGUCUUCGGAUUGUAAAGCACUUUAAGUUGGGAGGAAGGGCAGUAACCUAAUACGUUAUUGUUUUGACGUUACCGACAGAAUAAGCACCGGCUAACUUCGUG
rnacentral:rRNA from 1 species